rnacentral:rRNA from 1 species
CCUACGGGUGGCAGCAGUGAGGAAUUUUGCGCAAUGGGGGCAACCCUGACGCAGCAACGCCGCGUGAGUGAUGAAGGCCUUCGGGUCGUAAAGCUCUGUCAAGCGGGAAGAACCUGCUCAGUGAUAAUACCGCUGGGCAAUGACGGUAACGCUGAAGGAAGCACCGGCUAACUCCGUGCCAGCAGCCGCGGUAAUACGGGGGGUGCUAGCGUUAUUCGGAAUCAUUGGGCGUAAAGGGCGCGUAGGCGGUCUUUUAAGUCAGAUGUGAAAGCCCUCGGCUUAACCGAGGAAGUGCAUUUGAUACUAGAAGACUUGAGUAUGGGAGAGGGAAGCGGAAUUCCUGGUGUAGCGGUGAAAUGCGUAGAUAUCAGGAGGAACACCGGUGGCGAAGGCGGCUUCCUGGACCAAUACUGACGCUGAGGCGCGAAGGCGUGGGGAGCAAACAGGAUUAGAUACCCUUGUAGUCAC